GUUGUUUUCAAUGUUUAUUUAUUGAGGGACACUUGUGGGUUUACUUGAUGGAUUACACUAGAAAGCUGGAUAACAACGUUCCAUUAAGUUAACGUCAGAAGAAAUGGUUACAAUAUUAAGGACAGAAACCCAGAAUGAAGAGUAACUGUCAGACUGCAUAAGACGAGAAUUCUGCUGAUGUCACUUUCCGAGAGUGGAGCUAGGAACGCAAGGAAGUAACGUAACAGUUCAGGAGAAUUUAAACCCGACGCCACUCCAGGUGAAAGUGUCCGCCGGGUUGUUUGACUUCUCACCAUGGAGAUAGGUUAUGUACUACCUCGUGGUAGUUACGUAGUAUGAAGAAAAUAGCAUGUUAUUUGAGACUUUUAUUGCCAUUCGAGAUUUUUGAUGUAUUAUUGGUUCAGUUGCUGUAACCACCGAAAUCCAACCACCCCCCUGGCUCAUUAUCUUCAAAGAAAACUGUUGAUUAAGCAUUCUCCCUGUGUGGCUGCAGUCUGUAAAGCCAAACGCCAUGUGCGAGAGAAAACAGCGGCCAUCUUGUUUGCACGAAAGGAGGCAGCAGGACUUGGUCAUUGAGUGUAUGGAACUAAAAUCGGACACUCGACUUCCCAAACACCGGUCAAACCAUACGAACACCUGCUUCCUUUUCCCGAACAGCCAGGAGAGCGCUGUUCGGUAGUUUGGUUCCCACGACCAGGGGAACAAUCGCUCCUACGAGUCAGGGGGCUCCGUUUGUGCAUUUAUUAAAUUUUUAUUACUUUUCGAAAUAGACCGGCCGCACAGUCUAAAUUCAUGGAACUGUUUUGGGCAGGAGUCUCAUGUGCGGUCGGUUUGUCAAAUGGGACUUCAAUAAAUUUGAGAACCCCUGAACUGAUCUGGGUGAUUUUUGGAUAUGUUGGUCACCCAGAUCAGGGCUAUCAGGGGAUGUGAUUUUUGG